rnacentral:lncRNA from 1 species
GUUGGCUGCUAAAUUCAGGCUGAUAGCUUGCAGCUGGAGAUUCUGAUUUCACUUACACAGAAGUGUGAAUCAAUGAUAUUUUCAUGAUGCCUUGAAGGAGGAAGGAAUAAGUCACUAUAAAAAGGCCUGUUUGGAGAGCCCUUACCAGUAUCUGUUCUCAUGGAAACGUGCAAACCUACUACCUCCUAUCACAGAAGAGUGGAGGGUCUGAACACAGGCAUGGCUGUCCAGUUCUUCUCAGUUUUCACCUUAGUUUUGAAAUAAAUUCCCUCUGCAUUUCCAACAGAGUGACCUUGCUUUGGUUUCUCCUGGUGUUGACAUUGCAUGGAUCUCUUGCAGUGACCGAUUACCUUUUCCUAUAUGUUUUCAAGGCCCCAACGGCGAGAUGCGUAUCGCCUCCGGCCCCAGCGGCGCCGCGGCCGCACAACGGAGCCUGUUGUGCCUCCGAGCCCCGGCGCCGCUAGCAGAGCUGCCGCCUCGGCCCGAGGGAAGCAGAGGAGCUCCACCACGGAUGGCGCUCGGAGGGAAGGUUUCGGGGGGACGUGGCGGGUGGGGAAGGGGCUGGUUUCUCGCUGGGCUACGCUGCGGGAGAUGGGCUCAAGUGUCUGCUCCAAGCCAGGCGGACCGCGAAGAGGGGUGGUGGCAAGCGCCAAAGUUUCAAGAUCUUGGUCGCCUCUUGAUGCUGCUGGCAUUGCUCACCGUGAGGCCCCCGUGCUGGAUGGGCAGGAAGGCUUGGAAACAGGGAACUCUUUCCCAAAGGUCAAAAAUUUGCAGUUUUCAUUGAAAAAGUCCCACUGGCAUGGCAGUGGCAGCUCAGUGGCCCACAGCCCUCAUGCCCCCAGGUCCGCCUGUGCUGCCCUCGCUGGGAGACGGGGACAAUUUUCCCUCCUGCUAAGGUUCCUUGAUGUAUUGCUGCAGCCGGCCAUAAACCGAGCAGCCGUCGAUAAACCGCGCUCUCUGUAGGCCCUCGGAGCAUGACAAAUUGUGUGUCUGGGCUUAUCAGGGCCAAUCUCUUAAUUACUUUUCCUCUAAGCACACAGUAAAUUGUGCCAAGGUCUGAUGAGCCAGGUUCCUCCAGGCAGGGACUGAGCGCAGAGCAGGGACACAAGGGCGAUGUCUCCCUGCAUGGCAAUGCUGGUCAGGGCUGCCAGCUCCCGCCUGCCCUCCACCAGGGACUUUGCACCAGGAGUAGGUUUUGCCUGACCCUCAUCCUACCCCACGUGAGAGGGGAUGGAUCCAGCUGAACCAAAAGACCUUUAGCUGGGCAGUUCCUGCAGGGUCCAGAUUGGCUCUCUGGAGCCCAGGAUGUGAUUUGGCUCUUCCUAAAGCAGAUGACCCACACAGGUACUUCUAAAAGCUGGGGGUGCCUGCCUGAUUUCUCUCCCCUGACCAUACAGGGAGCCCGGAAGGUGCUUGAGGAGGUCCACCCCAGCAUAAGGUCCCCCUGAUCUUGGCAAAAGAGCUUGGCCCAAGGCAAGGAGAAGAAUCACAGGGAGCGUUAAACCGCCCCGUUUAACAACCCCAAUUAGCUCAUUCCCAUCCCUCUUACAGAGGGUUGCAGACUGGGAAAGCUCGGAGAGCCUGGCUGGGCCGGGCGCAGGAGACCUCCGAGGAGAUGGGGACGGGAGAUGGCCCUCGGUGGGCUCACUGCCUGGGCGCUCAGGUUCGAGUCUGUGCUUUUGCCGUAGGUGUCAAGGUCAUCUCCCAAAUGUCGAACGCUUCCAUCGGCAUCCGAGCUACACCCUGCACGCCGGCUCUGAGCAGCGGGGAGAGGCAGGGGAUCCCCGAGCUGGCCGUUAGGAAACGGGCAGAGGUUUCUAGAGGCGUCGCAACCUCUGAAGGAGCCCGGAGUGCCUCGCUCUGAUUUAAUCACUAUUUGGUGAUGCUUGAGUUAGGGAGGAACCCCACCUUGCUGCUCCGUGCCUCAGUUUCCCCAUCUAUAAGCAGAGAUACCUGCCUCCCCCCUUCAUGGAGGGUGACGGGGGCUACGCCGUCAGCAGGGCUAGCAAGGUUCAAAGAGGGGUACCGAAGCCGGGAAAAUGCACCGGGAAAGCAGGAAAGGAGCAGUUCUCCCUGGGAUCUGGGUGACUGCUGCCCUCAACAUCCCUGAAUCCCAGGCCAUGGGAAACCUCCCCUCUGCGGUCAUUAGAAGAGGGACCCCAGUGAGCUCGGCCCCCCCAGCACCCAGAAGAGGCCAGACCCAGAUUGCCUGGUUUUUGGGGGACUCUUUUCGGUCCCUAAGCACAGGGGCCUGGGGCACCGGCUGUGUCCUGCAAGGAAGCCCCCGCUGCCCCCAGGCCGCGACUCCCAGCCCCGACGACGGUAAAUUUGGCUGCUGCCCCGGGUCCUCUCCGGCAGCUGCCGUGACAGACAGCUCCUGAACCAGCCCCCCCCCUCUGCAGCGCUGCUCUAAAAUAAAAAUAUCUCCCGCCUGCUCCGCUCCA